rnacentral:rRNA from 1 species
GCAAGUCGAACGGGGGCGCAUCCUUCGGGGUGUUGCCUUAGUGGCAGACGGGUGAGUAACACGUGGGAACCUGCCCUGGAGUGGGGGACAACCGCUGGAAACGGCGGCUAAUACCGCAUAUUCCCUGAGGGGGAAAGGCUUCGGCCGCUCUAGGAGGGGCCCGCGUCCGAUUAGCUUGUUGGUGGGGUAAAGGCCUACCAAGGCGACGAUCGGUAGCUGGUCUGAGAGGAUGAUC